GUUUGUAACAACUGCCUUUGUGCCCAGAUGGUCUGAGUCACGGCCUUUGUCAACACACAUGUGUCUUGCCAUUUCUUUUGGCUUUUUUCUUAAGAGUUGAAGUCACAAGUUGCAGAAAUUAAUCUCAUCCCUUCCACCAUGUGAGGACGCAGCAAGAAGACACCAUCUAUGAACCGGAAAAAAACAGGCCCUUACCAGGCACGAAAUCUGCCAGAGCCCUGAUCUUGGUCUCUCCAGUGUCCAGAGUUGUGAGGUCAAGAAUGAUGAGAAAUAAACUUCUGUUGCUUUUAACCAGUCGGUUUACAGUACUUUGUUACAGCAACCCAAAUGUACUAAGACACCCCUUUGUCUCCAGGGAACCUGUACUUUG
rnacentral:lncRNA from 10 species